GAAAUAAUAUAAAUAUUGAUGUAACAAUUAUACAGUGCUUUGCUUUUGGUUAUCAUACAAAUAAAAUUUCUAUACAAACACCAGAAUUGAAUGUUGUAUUAUCAAUAAGCUGUCAGUUUACAAUUAUUACUGAAAAGAACUGCAGUGUCUAUGAAAUUCUAGAAUUAAGACUGCAAUGUAUAAGUGAUUGCUAGUCUUUACAGAGGUUAAAAAAAGUAUCUGCCUUUUCUAAUAUUGACACUUUACUGUACUUUGCUGUUGUGUAUAAAAAUGUGGCAUGGAGAUUC
rnacentral:misc_RNA from 1 species